rnacentral:lncRNA from 1 species
UGGAAACAGAAGAAGGAUCCAUUGCCCCUUCAGCCUCACCUGCUCUCUGCUCAUUUUGGGAACAUGCUGUGUGUCUCCUUUCUUCUGUCAUAGCCAGGUAGAUCUGCUGGCUCUUGACCAAGCUGAUCCUCAGUGCUGGGAAUCCUCCUCAGUACUUCUCCUGGAAAUGCAACAGCCUCGCAUUUCCAACACUGUUUCAGGCUUCUGGAAUUUUAUGAUUUACCUAAAGUCAUCUGAGAACUUGAAGCAUGGGGCCCUGUUUUGGGAUCUGGCUCAGCUCUUCUGGGACAUCUAUGUGGACUGUGUUCUCUCAAGAAACCAUGGCUUAGGAAGAAGGCAACUGGCUGGAGAGGGAGAAAAAGUCUCAUCAGCUCAGCCACAGCAUGCAGGGAGUAAAAAAGGUGCAUAUUCUCAGCUCCUAAGAACCCCGUUCCUAAAGAAGAAAGAGUUGAUUGAAGAUUUGAUAAGCAUGCAUGUACGCAGGAGUGGGUCUAGGUUCAUUGGAAAAGUGAACCUGGAAAUAAAGAGAAAAUAAAUUUGACUUCUGAAGUAACUCAUGCCUUGAAAUUAAACAUAUGCAUAUAAUAUUAUAGGCACAUAAAUAUUUUUUUCUUAACUAUUGAUAUUUACUUAUUUACUUUAAAUGGUGGACAUGUCCAGGGAUAAAUAUUAAGCCAAAUUCUCAAAGAAAACUUAUUUAAAGCUUCAUUUUUUUAGGCAACCAGCAUGUUCUUUCCAAUGGUGUCUGCUGCUAGAACAUCCCACUGUCUAAAUGAGUUAAGUAACUUCUGAAGAUGACUUGGGGAUUGGAAGACCCCAACUCUUGAUAUUCAUUUGAUUAUAUCUGGAAAUCUUGACAUCAUUAAUGAACCAGAGGACAAUGGAUUUAAUUCACUGAAAAUUCUGCAUGAAUUUCAAGCUAUUAACCAUUAGAUUGCUUAUGCAGUAGCAUAUAAGGGGCUAUAUAUAAAUUAAUACCUGUUACUGAUAACCUGUGAAGCUAAAUCUUGUUUGAGAGAAUAUUUUUUGAAUAUUGAAUAAAGCAACAAAUAAAACAAAAUAAAAAUCUGGGGAAUAACAUAUUCAUUUAAAGGAAAUAAAAUUAAUAAAAUUUCUGGACCCCAAAUA